rnacentral:rRNA from 1 species
UACGUAGGUGGCAAGCGUUGUCCGGAAUUAUUGGGCGUAAAGCGCGCGCAGGCGGCCUCUUAAGUCUGAUGUGAAAGCCCCCGGCUCAACCGGGGAGGGCCAUUGGAAACUGGGAGGCUUGAGUAUAGGAGAGAAGAGUGGAAUUCCACGUGUAGCGGUGAAAUGCGUAGAGAUGUGGAGGAACACCAGUGGCGAAGGCGACUCUUUGGCCUAUAACUGACGCUGAGGCGCGAAGCGUGGGAGCAAACAGG